AGUGCAUGUGAUGCCAGACUAUUCAACUAACACAAGAGCUCUCUCUCUCUCCAAGACUCACCAUGACCUAAAGAUCAGAUCAACACACCACGAUGUGACUCCAGAUCAUGGAAGAGGGGAAGCUUGUUACAGUGACACAAAAGGCAGGAGAAAGUCGGAGCAUCCAUAGAGAACCGACACAGUCACAGAGACAACAUGAAGUCCACACAGAGGGAAGCAGCAGUGACUUCAGGAUCCAAGGAGACGAAGAAACCGUUUGAGGAGCCCGACGGAUGAUGGACGACAGAAGAAAGCAGCCAGAAAGAGGAAGAAGAUGAAGAGCAGCUCCAGGUGUCACCAAAGGUAUCUCUGGAUCUGGAGCUCCAUGUCUCUGACCUGCUGGUACCGGCCUCAGCGACCUCCAAAGUCUUCAUGUUCUCUCCCUCCUUCUUUACCCUCACCCCAGCCAGAGGUUUUUUUUUAACUUCCUGGCGACGGGAGGUUUUUUUCCUCCACAAAUGCUUGAUCUGAUCAAAGAGCAUAAAGAGAGCCUCAAAUAAAUAACAAAACAACA